rnacentral:rRNA from 1 species
UACAGAGGGUGCAAGCGUUAAUCGGAAUUACUGGGCGUAAAGCGUGCGCAGGCGGUUGUGUAAGUCAGAUGUGAAAUCCCCGGGCUCAACCUGGGGAAUUGCAUUUGAGACUGCACGGCUAGAGUGUGUCAGAGGGGGGGUAGAAUCCACGUGUAGCAGUGAAAUGCGUAGAGAUGUGGAGGAAUACCGAUGGCGAAGGCAGCCCCCUGGGAUAACACUGACGCUCAUGCACGAAAGCGUGGGGAGCAAACAGG